rnacentral:rRNA from 1 species
UACGUAGGAUGCAAGCGUUAUCCGGAAUUAUUGGGCGUAAAGAGUUUGUAGGUGGCAUGUUAAGUUGAAUGUUAAAUCUCAGGGCUCAACCCUGGGGCUGCAUUCAAUACUGGCAAGCUCGAGGUAUGGAGAGGUAAGCGGAAUUAGUAGUGUAGCGGUGAAAUGCGUAGAUAUUACUAAGAACACCAAUGGCGAAGGCAGCUUACUGGCCAUAUCCUGACACUGAGAAACGAAAGCGUGGGGAGCGAACAGGAUUAGAUACCCUGGUAGUCCACGCCGUAAACGAUGAUCACUAGCUGUUCGGGGAGUCGACCCCCUGAGUAGUGUAGCUAACGCGUUAAGUGAUCCGCCUGGGGAGUACGGUCGCAAGGCUAAAACUCAAAGGAAUUGACGGGGACCCGCACAAGCGGUGGAACGUGUGGUUUAAUUCGACACUAAACGAAAAACCUUACCGAGGCUUGACAUCUCUGGAAGGUCCUAGAAACAGGACUGUGCCCGAAAGGGAACCAGAUGACAGGUGCUGCAUGGCUGUCGUCAGCUCGUGUUGUGAAAUGUUCGGUUAAGUCCGUCAACGAGCGCAACCCUCAUCGUAUGUUAUAUUUCUCAUGCGAGACUGCCCUGGUUAACAGGGAGGAAGGUGGGGAUGACGUCAAGUCAGCAUGGCUCUUACGCCUCGGGCUACACACGCGUUACAAUGGCCGGUACAAUGGGUCGCCAACCAGCGAUGGGGAGCCAAUCCCAACAAAACCGGUCCCAGUUCGGAUAAGAGGCUGCAACUCGCCUCUUUGAAGUCGGAAUCGCUAGUAAACGUGAAUCAGCAUGUCACGUUGGAUACGUUCCCGGGUCU